GAUGAACGCUAGCGGCAGGCUUAAUACAUGCAAGUCGAGGGGCAGCACGUCUUCGGAUGGUGGCGACCGGCAAACGGGUGAGGAACACGUACACAACCUUCCUUUUAGUGGAGCAUAGCCCAGGGAAACUUGGAUUAAUUCUCCGUAAGAUAUUAGACAGGCAUCUGUUAGAUAUUAUAGUGGCAACACGCUAGAAGACGGGUGUGCGUAUGAUUAGAUAGUUGGUAGGGUAACGGCCUACCAAGUCAACGAUCAUUAACUGGUGUGAGAGCACGACCAGUCACAUGGGCACUGAGACACGGGUCCAACUCCUACGGGAGGCAGCAGUAAGGAAUAUUGGUCAAUGGAGGGAACUCUGAACCAGCCAUGCCGCGUGAAGGAUGAAGGUCCUCUGGAUUGUAAACUUCUUUUAUAGGGGGCGAAAAAAGGGUUUUUUAACUCGUCUGACGGUACCCUAUGAAUAAGCACCGGCUAACUCCGUG
rnacentral:rRNA from 1 species